rnacentral:rRNA from 1 species
GACGAACGCUGGCGGCGUGCUUUACACAUGCAAGUCGAACGGUGAAGGUGGAGCUUGCUCCGCCGGAUCAGUGGCGAACGGGUGAGUAACACGUGGGCAACCUGCCCCUAACUUUGGGAUAACUACUCGAAAGAGUAGCUAAUACCGGAUAUGAAGUCUGUAGGCAUCUAUGGAUUUGGAAAGUUUUUCGGUUAGGGAUGGGCCCGCGGCCUAUCAGCUUGUUGGUGAGGUAGUGGCUCACCAAGGCGACGACGGGUAGCCGGCCUGAGAGAGCGACCGGCCACACUGGGACUGAGACACGGCCCAGACUCCUACGGGAGGCAGCAGUGGGGAAUAUUGCGCAAUGGGCGAAAGCCUGACGCAGCAACGCCGCGUGCGGGAUGAAGGCCUUCGGGUUGUAAACCGCUUCCAGCAGGGAAGAAGCGAAAGUGACGGUACCUGCAGAAGAAGCACCGGCUAACUACGUGCCAGCCGCCGCAGUAA